AUUGAACGCUGGCGGCAGGCCUAACACAUGCAAGUCGAGCGGCGCACGAGUCGGGUGCGUGAGGCUUAGGACUCUGCCUGGGCGUGGGGGAUAAGGUUCGGUAACGGGAGCUAAUACUGCAUCCUCUCGGAUGAGGCUAGGUCGGAUUAGCUAGUUGGUGGGGUAAGGGCUUACCAAGGCGACGAUCCGUAACUGGUCUGAGAGGAUGAUCAGCCACACUGGAACUGAGACACGGUCCAGACUCCUACGGGAGGCAGCAGUGGGGAAUAUUGGACAAUGGGCGAAAGCCUGAUCCAGCCAUGCCGCGUGUGUGAAGAAGGCCUUCGGAUUGUAAAGCACUUUAAGUUGGGAGGCGUUACCAACAGAAUAAGCACCGGCUAACUUCGUGCCAGCAGCCGCGGUAAUAC
rnacentral:rRNA from 1 species